UACGUAGGGUCCGAGCGUUGUCCGGAAUUACUGGGCGUAAAGAGCUCGUAGGUGGUUUGUCGCGUUGUUCGUGAAAACUCACAGCUCAACUGUGGGCGUGCGGGCGAUACGGGCAGACUAGAGUACUGCAGGGGAGACUGGAAUUCCUGGUGUAGCGGUGGAAUGCGCAGAUAUCAGGAGGAACACCGGUGGCGAAGGCGGGUCUCUGGGCAGUAACUGACGCUGAGGAGCGAAAAGCGUGGGGGAGCGAACAGG
rnacentral:rRNA from 1 species